rnacentral:rRNA from 1 species
AGCUCCAUUAGCGUAUAUUAAAGUUGUUGCAGUUAAAAAGCUCGUAGUUGGAUUUGUGAUUGAGUUGCGGGGUUCCACACUGUGUGUGGAUACCGAUGCGACUGGAUCAUCCUUGGGUGGAACCAUUCUGGCAUUCAGUUGCCGGUUUGGGGAUGCCCAUCGUUUACUGUGAAAAAAUUAGAGUGUUCAAAGCAGGCUUAUGCCGUUGAAUAUAUUAGCAUGGAAUAAUGAGAUAGGAUCUUGGUACUAUUUUGUUGGUUUGCGCACCAAGAUAAUGAUUAAUAGGGACAGUUGGGGGUUUUCGUAUUCCAUUGUCAGAGGUGAAAUUCUUGGAUCUCUGGAAGACGAACUACUGCGAAAGCAUUGACCAAGGAUGUUUUCA